GGCGGGGUCCGAGCCGCCGCCCGCCGCGGGCAGCGGCGCCGUGAGGGGCUGCCCCGUUCCCGGGCGCUGCCGUUACCUGGGAGAGCCGGGGCUAUUUUUAACCUGGAUGUGUUCUGUGAUUUGUUUCCCACACAGCACAGAAACUGGCACAGCUGAGGGUUCCUGAGAGUGAACAAGUUGUGUUUUUUGUGAGCUGCAAGCCAUGUCAAGUGGGGUGGAUCUUCCACAGAGAGAUUGCUGCCUCUGGCCCCAAAAUAUCCUUGUAAGAAGGAGGCUGGCUCGGGACACUCCUGGUGGCUGCCACGGACGGUGGCACCCGGCACCGCCCGCUGCCGCAGGGACCUACUUCUGGGAGAGCCAAGGUAACCUCUCCGCUGGAAAGGGCUGGGACGGCGGCCAGCCCAGAUUAAUGGCAUCAUUAACGUCCCCAGUUUAUUUAUAGGCUUAAAAAUGCCUGGGACCUGCGAACUGAGCACAGUUGCUCCGUGUAAGGCAGGGACUCACAGGUCUCCCGCUUCUGCCUUUCCCCUUCCUGCUAUUUCCUUGUGAUUGCUGCGGCUGUGAAACCUCCGGAGCAGGCACUGUUUCUCCUUGUGAAGCUACUUUGUAAACCUUCCGAACUGAAGGGAUACAUACAGAUACUUUUUUUUUUUUUUUUUUU